rnacentral:tRNA from 1 species
GGGGGCUUAGCGCAGUUGGGAGCGCGCAUCCUUCGCAUGGAUGAGGUCGGGGGUUCGAAUCCCCCAGCCUCCA